AAAGCACAGACAUGGGUCAGAACGGCAGGUAAUGGGAACAAAAAUAUGCAUGUGCAUAUAUACACGCACACACAUAUGUUCACACAUAGAUACACAAGAAUUCUUCUCCCUAAAAUGCCUACACAGGCCAUUUAGCUCGUACAGAUAAAUCCAUUUUCCAUUGAUUUAGGGAUUAGGGGGGGAUUAUUAUUAAAGGCCACUGUAUUAGAAAUCCAGCUGAGUAAUCUCCCAGUUAUCCAUGAGUGGAUUAGCUGGGCUACACUCUGCACCUGGAGCAUGGCUACAUGUACCACACCAGCUCCAGACUGGUCAGGAUGAGUCCUGAGCUGCACCACACAGCUCUCCUGGCUGAGGUCAACAGCAGAGAGCCCUCAGCCCCAACCCAGAGCUCAUUUUCCCCCCAGGAAUGGUGUAGCAGAGAAGUAGGAGCUCACUGGAGCACAUCCACCUUGUCUGGGCAUCCUUAGCAUCCCAGACACAACACUUUUCCCAAUUCAGGCAAGAGGGUGCAAUUUGUCCCUGGCUUACCAACAGCAGAUUCUCACCCAACCGCACCGGUACUCUCGCACCAAGCUUCACCCACUGCUUUACUGUUCCCUAUCACUGUGCAGACUGGUUCCCUAACAUGCACUAGAAGGAGCAUCAAGAGCUGCUGCUGGCACCUCCAGCACAUCGCACCCAGCCAGGAGAACCUCUCCCCUCCACUGCCACACAGCCUGCAGCAGGUCAGCCAGGAUACAGGCUACGACCACAGAGAACACAAGCUCAGCUCAUGGUACCCUCACAACACAACACCCCCUCGAAACCUAAAGCCUUCAGCAAUUCCGCCUUACUCCCUGGCGAUUUCUAAUUAACCAUGCAGGGAAAAAUAGAGAGCUUACAGAAAUGAUGGAAGCAGCACGCAGCAGGAAGAGUAAUUUUUUCCUAUCACUCACUAGGCAAGCCGAAAUAUUUUAGACCAUUUGCCAGUUCUUUCCCUUUACAACCCAAUGGGACUCAUUUGCUCUGGGUUGCAAGACAGUUAAAAAAAAAAAAAAAGGCAAAAGGGGAGUCAGCCACAAAAUUAAAGCUAUAAAACUUGAUUAAGUUUUCAAAGAAUCCACCCAGCACAGAGAACUACUCAGGCAGUGUGCGAUCUGCGAGCCUCAAGUGGCGCUCCCCUCCGACGUACGACACUGCACACAGAGGCUGUUCAUUCCCCGACAGCCAUCUCCUCCCUUACUGCUUUUAUGCUUCUACAGCAAAGAUCACCACAGGCUCUUGCAAUUAAAAAAGUCACUGUUAAUUUGUGCUAAAGCCAAUGGUUACCCUGAUUAAGGAGCCAAGGCAAAAAAAUUGACCCAUCCGUUCUGAGGCCAAGUAAUAGGAAAACCAGGAAUGAGAGGUCUGAUUGAAUCAAAAACUAUCACACGCGUAUGAAAGUGGGUCGGUAGCUAUUUAUGCAACACAUAAAUACUAUUUAGCUCACACUGUACCUGGUAUUUUACUUCAUCAGCUUCUGGCAUUAACUCUAUGCCACGUGUUUACUGGCGAGGGACACCCAACGACCAUACUUCCACCCCCCAGGCAAGGUGUGUUCAGGGGCUGCCCAGAAAGCCCCUUCUCCAGCCAUCCGUGGUGGGAGAUGGUCCCCCCACCAGAUCUGCACGGGUCACUGGGAGAAGCUGGACUGUGCAGGGAGGGGGUGUCAGCUUGUGGAAAGCUCCAGCCAUGCCCAAGGGUGGUGGCAACCCCUAAAGGCUGCGAUUUCAAGGCAAGUGGAGUUUCAUAUGCAGAUAAAAAUCACGCUGGUCUACCAGGCACCUGGGACGUGAGAGCUUCUGGAAGUCAGGAGCCAGCGUUUGCCAAAAAACAUUAACCAAAAUAAAACUCUGACUAAUUCUGUGCCUUUCUGGCCAACUCCACAAACCCGUAAUGCCGUCACAGAAUGAGCCAGUCAAUAACGCCCAGAGAGCAAGUCUUAAAUCUAUCGCGGGCUGAUGUGGAUUUCGACAGUCUACUUAUUAAGUGGUGUCUCUUUUUAUGGCCACACUAAACCCGAGUUCUACAUCCUGCGCUGGCCACCAACUGCCUUCCAGCUUGAUUUAAGAGGUUGGUUUCAACCCAUGAAGUCUUUAAUGGCCUGGGACCUGCCUGGAGAGGAGGCUGCUGCCCAAGACGUGCUCAGGAUGGCUGUGCUGCUCUGGAGCCCUUUGGCUUCAACCCAGCUCCAUCAGAUUGCUUGCUGCACAGGGCCCUGCACCUUGAGACCCACUUCUCCUCCAGGACUACUACAGUCAGUAUUUAUCGGUCUCCUGGGAAUGACGCAAGGCUUAUUUUUUCCUCCUUGCACAAGACAGGCAUUGGGUAGGGCUGGGCUGUGAAACAGGAGGAAAUUGCCGGGGGUGGAGGUGCUGAGUCAGUUGAUCUGGUUGGAAAACACAGGCUCCUAAUUAGCGUUUCGACAAACACGGAGGAGUGCACCAUAUAAGAAGAAGAAAGUAAGGAGCAAUUCUUCAUCUAAGAGGCAUCCACCGGCCUGAUGUCAGUCCUUUUGCAGAACCCACAGGUCUUUCGCAGCUGAGGACAUCCAACAUCCAACUGAGCUGAGAGCACUCAGUUCUGUGCACAUCUAGACCUCCCAAAAUUGCUAUUUUUAGAGAGGACACAAAUCCCUGGCAUUUGUAGCACAUCUUGCUGGUGACCUAUCACAGCAAGACGAAGCAAGAUGACGCACACUGACCCUGCUACUGCCCUCUGGCCCGUCAGCACAGGCUCAGGUGGACUGUGAGAAUGGAGAGAAAUGGAGCCGUCAACCCAAGAACGAGAACUGAACCCACAAAUCCCAGCCUUCAGGCCCUAGCUCUGGCAUUCUCUUCCUUUGUUGUACCCAGACAGGUGACGGGCAUUGCCCAAAACUACGAUCCUCAAGACUGUCUCAGACGCUGCCUUGUUUGCAAAGUGGCUGCAUAAAAGCUAAACAGCAGCAAGCGAAGCCAAAUGUUGUGGCCCAUGGAUGUGGUUUGAACCUCUGAAAGCAUCACAUCCAGGAAAGCGAAGUUUUAUUGCAUGGGCCUGCCAGUUGUGAGGAGCUUUCCCAUGGUUUCCAUAAUCUCCCACUGAGGCACCAUCCGUCAUGCUGGCAGCCGAGACAACAGAGCCUCAGGGAGAGGAGGAACUGGUAAGUUGGCUGGUCUGAACUCACAUUGGUGGAAAAGUCACCAAGAACCGUUUGCUCCCACUCAAACCGCAACUGGAGAAGGGCAACUUGGCCCACGUAUAGCACUGCAGCUCCAACACAACAUGCUGGACAUACGUGGUGGUAGAAGCAGGAGCAGACUCCAGCUCAGAAAACAUCUGCUUCUGGGGCUCCAAGACAGCCAGGGCUGCACUGAAUGACAGCCAUGGCAGAGGGAAGGGGAAAGAGGAGCCAUAAUGGUCAGGAGAGCUGUCACCACGGUGCCCUGGCAGGACGCAAACCCCUUGGGGAAAAGGAGUUGGGCUUCAGCAGAAACCCAUGUUCAGCUCAAUGGUGCACGCACAGGUCAGCUCCUGGCAGUUGUGGGGUCCCCCGUUGCCACAGAGGCUUCACAGGCGCGUUGGAGACCUGGGCAGCUGCUGCCAGCGCUGCCUGGUGCAAGGUAAGGACGGCCGAGGUGCAGCUACUGCUGCUGCCUGUACGGGAGAGGAAAGGGAGAUGACAAAGCGAGUCAGGCUGUGGGAAACGGGGAGCUCCGCUGAGCCCUUGGACAAAAGCUGCUGCACCAGUCGAGGCGGGCUUGAUGGAGACACCACUAAGGGCUGUAGCAGAUACUGUAGUGGAAAAUAAAGAUAGUAUGAAAAGCUUGGCAAGCAGUCCCUCCUGCCUUGUUAUCCUCCUGCCUUCUGGCAACCUGGAGUUCAAAGACCUCUGGAGCCAGCAUCUGCAUCCAAAUCUUCCCAUUUCAUAGUGGCUACGAACUGUCUAAUCCUUUCAAACCCACAAAUACUUUUGGCCUUGAGAACAUCCCACAGCAGAGAGUCCCACCACUGAAGCACUGCCUCUACCUGCCAUUCGAACCCGCUCCCUGCAUCCCUGCUUGGGAAGGGACGAGGCACCUGCUUCGGGAGCACGGAAGAGGAAGGCGAGGAUGAGGAGCGCCACAGACUCCUGGCAUCCUUCGCUCCCCGCCGAGCCUGGCAGGGCUCAGCGCGGCUCUGCUGACUUCGGCAGAGCUGCCGGCAGCAUCAGGGGUCCCAGCGAGAGGAGCGAGCUGCUGCAUGAGCACAGUGAGCACAGCUAUGAAUUUUCCGCAGGCAGGGAGAGCAGAGCCCCUAACCCUGAGCUAUUAACAUGUCAAGAGGGACAGGGGAAAAGCUUUUCCUUUAAUGAAUAUUUCCUCAGUGAAGCCUGCACCCUUCGUAGGCGAAGUGAUAGGCUUAGUCUAAAGAUGGAUUGGCCUACUUUACCUAUUAACCACUUAGACUAAUGUAAUAAAGGCUCUCUUUAUUCAAAGAGCCCUAAUCCCCAGCCCCACGCAGCCCUGAAGCCUGGAAUAAGAAGGGAUGCUAAAGCGAACCCCACCAGGCUGCUGCUCGGAGAGGCAGACUUUGUAUAUUUUUUUAAGCGCAAACUUCUCCAAUGUGAAAACCGGACCCAGAGCGAGAUAAAUUUACAAAGUGGGGAUGACAGGUGGCCAAAUGGUAAUCCAAUCCUGAAGCCUAAUGCCCUUUGUGGCAGCUUUUGUCUGCGCAGAGGGGCUCCGGGCUAAUCUGCUGCCACUUCUCAAGGAGGAACGGCAAGGGGCCGGGGGGGCGAGGGGACCCCUGCAACCUGUUGCUGCCUUGUUCGCCACAGGGUGGGUUUUGUGCUGGAUAUAUUCCUACCCAGCUCCCGGAGCCACCCAGCAUCACUUUUGGAGAUGCUCCCCCCACUCCAGCAUGCUCAAGAAACGAAGUCCCUCUGGUAAGUGUUAGAAUCGGGGUGCGCCGUGCCGCAGCGAUGGUACCCUCCCAUCUCAACCCCCUCCGCUCCAGACCACCCUUCUUGCUCAGUCCUCUGAGCUGCCUCAGUUUCCCUCUAAAAGGAUGACAAAACUCUCCUAGAGGAGACAGACAGCUGUGCAGAGAGUAUUGUAAAAGCAAGAGAAGCAUUGUUACAGUCAAGAUAAAACUCUGUAGCAUCUGGAUGCAGCUACGAGAUGCUCACAACAGUCCCCAUGGCAGCUCUGCCGGAAGACACAGCAAGAACCGCCUUUGGUGCAGAAUUUCUAGACUUUCCCCCUACAGCUGUUCCCUAAGAAAAAGGAAAAUAGGGAAAAGGGGAGAAAAAGCAAGUCAAACUAUUUUGGAGAUCAGCCACAUUCAGGCCUGUAAUCCAGAACCAUUUGCUUUGCAGCCUGGUGGUGCACAUGCAGAGCAUCCAACCUACUUCUGGUCAGUUCCUACCUAAAUUCCUGACUGGUGUUUCAAGAAGACAAAAAGUGAUUUCUUCCCAUAAAACCAAAUUUCAGCAAUCUGACUGUUUCUGGGGAAAAAGCCCCCAAAUCCUCCCAGAAGGCUGUGUAAGAAACCGCACAGAGUAGAUUGAAAGCUUAUGGUGAAGAAAUGGAAAAGGUAGACACAAAAGCUCUUCUCCCACCCUGGGAGGACACAGAAUUUUAGCCUCCAGAGCCAUGACGGGGUUUGAAAACCCGAGGUGACCACAAGCCCAGGCAGCAUGACUGGGAACGUAGUACAGUUUGGUGUACAUCAUGAAUUUGUUAUAACUUUUGCUGCUUUUCUAAUUUGCAGGUUGGAAAGCAAACAAGAAAAGCUUCAGAGGAAACACGUGCAGAAAAUGAGGCAGGUUGAACCUCAUCCCCUCCCACACUGAUGUUCUCCCGCCUGCUGCAUCGUCUCCUGUCCCUGUCCCCAGGGGCAGUUUGGUCCCCUGUCCCCAUCCCAACAUGCUCCCACUCGGCUUUGCUCCAGCCAGGAUCCCACUAAAGCCAAAGGGCUUGUUUCAAACCACAGUCAGCCCAUCCGCUGCCCGACAUCAAACAUGCUUCUGAGGAGGGCUUUACUGCCACUCCCGCCCUGCACUGCAGUUCUCAUUCUAAAUCCCCCUGCUUCUCUGCCUUUUCCUCUCCUCCCCCAUCCUAAGAAACAAAUUUAAGCCAA